AACGAACGCUGGCGGCAGGCCUAACACAUGCAAGUCGAGCGGACCCUUCGGGGUUAGCGGCGGACGGGUGAGUAACGCGUGGGAAUAUGCCCUUCUCUACGGAAUAGUCCUGGGAAACUGGGGGUAAUACCGUAUACGCCCUUUGGGGGAAAGAUUUAUCGGGGAAGGAUUAGCCCGCGUUGGAUUAGGUAGUUGGUGGGGUAAUGGCCUACCAAGCCGACGAUCCAUAGCUGGUUUGAGAGGAUGAUCAGCCACACUGGGACUGAGACACGGCCCAGACUCGUACGGGAGGCAGCAGUGGGGAAUCUUAGACAAUGGGGGCAACCCUGAUAUAGCCAUGCCGCGUGAGUGAUGAAGGCCUUAGGGUUGUAAAGCUCUUUCAGCUGGGAAGAUAAUGACGGUACCAGCAGAAGAAGCCCCGGCUAACUCCGUG
rnacentral:rRNA from 1 species